UGGGGAAUAUUGGGCAAUGGGGGCAACCCCGACCCAGCGACGCCGCGUGGGGGAAGACGGCCUUCGGGUUGUAAACCUCUUUUGUACGGGAAGAAGGAAGUGACGGUACUGUACGAAUAAGUCCCGGCUAACUACGUGCCAGCAGCCGCGGUAAUACGUAGGGGACGAGCGUUGUCCGGAAUUACUGGGCGUAAAGGGCGCGCAGGCUGUGCUGCAAGUCAGCUGUUAAAUGUCUGGGCUUAACCCGGGCAUGCGGUUGAGACUGCGGUGCUAGAGUGCUGUAGAGGCAAGUGGAAUUCCCAGUGUAGCGGUGAAAUGCGUAGAUAUUGGGAAGAACACCGGUGGCGAAGGCGACCUGCUGGGCAGCAACUGACGCUGAGGCGCGAAAGCCAGGGGAGCAAACGG
rnacentral:rRNA from 1 species